GAGGGGGGGCAGAAUAAAAGCAGUAUUUUCUUAUUUUCAUUUUAAAUGAUGCUAAUGCUUAUUCCUUUUUUACAUUUCCGUCUUCAGGCAAAUACAUAUGGUUGAUGUUUCUAAUCUUUAUUUAAACUGAAAGCUUACCAGUCACUUGGUAACUAUAAAAUAGAUAGUCUUACUAAGUAUGUGAAGAUAGAAAUCAAUUACCCAAAAUAUCCUAAAAUAAAACCACUUAUCGAAUUGUGACAAGAUGGAUUUCUUCUCACCAGACUGAUGGAGCACAGGUUGAGAUGAGGCCCCCAAAGAAGGCCUUUGUUCAUUAUCAGGAGAGGACAAUAAUGAAGUUGAAGGGGGACUUCCUGUUGAAGACGAUGUUGAAGGAGCUUGGGCUGACAUUGUAGAAGAUGACGACGAUGGAAGUUGUUCAGAACCAUCUACUUCCAUCGCAGUUUCUGAUUCUGUACUGGGUGGCACAUUAUUAGUAGUAGAAGCAUCUGUCCGAUUAGUCCCACCUCUGGACCGUGAUCUUCCUCGUCCUCGAUUACUUUGUGCAACUUCACUAGCUUCUUCAAACCAUCUUGACAGCAUGUCUGACAUCCUCUGCAUUAGAGAGACAUUAGGACUCUGUUCGCCAUCUCUCUCCCGUUCACUCUCAGGCCUUGCUCUUGGGCCAGUAUCUG
rnacentral:lncRNA from 1 species